CCUCAUAGCGGGGGAUAACUAUUGGAAACAAUAGCUAAUACCGCAUAACAGUAUUUAUCACAUGGUAAAUGCUUGAAAGGAGCAAUUGCUUCACUAUGAGAUGGACCUGCGUUGUAUUAGCUAGUUGGUGGGGUAACGGCUCACCAAGGCAUCGAUACAUAGCCGACCUGAGAGGGUGAUCGGCCACACUGGGACUGAGACACGGCCCAGACUCCUACGGGAGGCAGCAGUAGGGAAUCUUCGGCAAUGGGGGGGACCCUGACCGAGCAACGCCGCGUGAGUGAAGAAGGUUUUCGGAUCGUAAAGCUCUGUUGUAAGAGAAGAACGUGUGUGAGAGUGGAAAGUUCACACAGUGACGGUAACUUACCAGAAAGGGACGGCUAACUACGUGCCAGCAGCCGCGGUAAUACGUAGGUCCCGAGCGUUGUCCGGAUUUAUUGGGCGUAAAGCGAGCGCAGGCGGUUUGAUAAGUCUGAAGUAAAAGGCUGUGGCUUAACCAUAGUAUGCUUUGGAAACUGUCAAACUUGAGUGCAGAAGGGGAGAGUGGAAUUCCAUGUGUAGCGGUGAAAUGCGUAGAUAUAUGGAGGAACACCGGUGGCGAAAGCGGCUCUCUGGUCUGUAACUGACGCUGAGGCUCGAAAGCGUGGGGAGCAAACAGGAUUAGAUACCCUGGUAGUCCACGCCGUAAACGAUGAGUGCUAGGUGUUGGGUCCUUUCCGGGACUCAGUGCCGCAGCUAACGCA
rnacentral:rRNA from 1 species